UUUCAGGGCCUAAGUUUUUAAACUUUUAUUAAUUUUAAUUUUUGUUCCUCAGCACCCUCAGGCAAUGGAACUGUAGUCACUUAAGAUUGUAGACCACCGUGAGUGCCAUGAACCAAACCCUGAAGUGCUCCAAACCACUGAGUCAUCUCUCCAGUCCUUUAGCUGCUUUUUACAUCUAUUUGGUGAAGCAGAAAACCUAGUUUGCACAUUGUUUUGGAUUUUUGAGAGAACAAGACGUCUGGUCCUCAGAUCUGCAACCUUCACCAACAUAUGUGAAUGAGAUAAGAUAUAUAGAGCCCACACUCAAGAAGAAGCUGUUUAUUGAAACACUAGAUAACCAUGCACAGGUAUAUUGAACUUAAGACAGGAUAGAGAGAUGGGAAAUUUUGAAAACAUGGCAAGGGAAAGGAGUCCUUCACCUGAGUCUGGCUGAAGCUUCUCCCCAGCUGAAAAUCAGGAGUUCCAACAUUAUAAGCCCAUUCAUUCAAGGCACCUCCAAAGACACCCUUUAACCUCACCUACCAAAGAAAGGUGGGGAGAUUUCAUAGUGAGUUAGAACAUGAAAACCAUUGAAACAGUACAC
rnacentral:lncRNA from 1 species